UAAAUAUACUUUUCAUAUGUCUGCAUUUUUCAAUCCAUGGCAUAUGAUGGUGCAAUGAGAUACUUUAAUUCGUCAAUCAUCUUGAGAAAACGUACUUAACUGGAAAUCAAUCAAUCCUCCAUCGUUAACACUAUGUAAAGUUCAAAUGCUUUAAUGUUAAGUGCGUGGGUGACGGAGAGAAACAAAAUGGUGCCAUUUGAGGUCAUGUGGCAGAGAGUGAUAAGGGCGCUGGAGGUGGGGGUGUGAGCAGGAGAAAAGCACAGUAUGGCAUCUCAGCUGAUCAUCAUGAACUUCAUGUAGUUACAGUACAUCAACCAAUACAGAUGAUUGUGAACGGCAUCUCAGAACGCACAACUCGUCUGUCCUUAUUACGGAUAGGCUAUUGCAGCAGAUAACCACACCGAUAUCCACUCCAGUCAGCUAAAAACAAGAAUAACCGGCUCCAGUGGGCACGCCAUCACCUGGACAAUUGAGGAGUGGAAAAACAUAGCCUGAUCUGAUGAAUCCUGGUUCCUGUUGCGUCAUGCUGACAGUUGAGUCAGGAUUUGGUGUAGGAAGCAUAAGUCCAUGGCCCCAUAAUGCCAAUUGAGCAACGCUUCCAUGCCCCAAAGAAUUCAGGCUGUUCUUGAGGCAAAGGAAUGUCCGACCUGGUACUAGAUGGGUGUACCUAAUAAACUGACGACUGAGUGUAUAUUUCUAUUUUAUGCAGAACUGGGAGGAUGUAAAAAGGGGAUGAGAUUACAUUAAAACAUUAUUAGGUCUAUAUUCUAAAAUGCAAUGGUAGGUAGUUGACUGAACUUUAUAAACAAAUGUGAAUAUUCAUCAUUUAUUAUUAUUAGAAUUCCAAUUAUUAUUAACAAUCAAACAAUGUUUCCCAUUUUAAAGUCAAUUAUGAGCAGGUGACCUAAUAACAUAAUACCCUCACAUCUGGCCUAUGCCUAUAUCUCUUUCAUAUCUCUUUCACACUCUAUGACACAUGCAUGCAAAGAAGACAGACUCACUCACCAAAGCUCUAAUUUUCUCCCAUUGGCACACACACUCUGCCAGCCAGUCAAGCGGAUCUCUCUCUCGACGGGCACAGUAAUAGUUCAAAAAUGGGCCCGGAAUACAGCAGUUCUCAAUACUGCCUAUAACGCUUAAUGUGCUGUUACUGUAAUAUCUGCAUAUACAGUUCCUUCAGAAAGUAUUCACACCCCUUGACUAUUCUCCAUUUUGUUGUGUUACAGCCUUAA